rnacentral:rRNA from 1 species
GGCUCAGGAUGAACGCUGGCGGCGUGCCUAAUACAUGCAAGUCGAGCGAACAGAUAAGGAGCUUGCUCCUUUGACGUUAGCGGCGGACGGGUGAGUAACACGUGGGUAACCUACCUAUAAGACUGGAAUAACUCCGGGAAACCGGGGCUAAUGCCGGAUAACAUGUUGAACCGCAUGGUUCUACAGUGAAAGACGGUCUUGCUGUCACUUAUAGAUGGACCCGCGCCGUAUUAGCUAGUUGGUGGGGUAACGGCCUACCAAGGCGACGAUACGUAGCCGACCUGAGAGGGUGAUCGGCCACACUGGAACUGAGACACGGUCCAGACUCCUACGGGAGGCAGCAGUAGGGAAUCUUCCGCAAUGGGCGAAAGCCUGACGGAGCAACGCCGCGUGAGUGAUGAAGGUCUUCGGAUCGUAAAGCUCUGUUGUUAGGGAAGAACAAAUGUGUAAGUAACUGUGC